GGCUAAUACCGGAUGAGCCGAAAGGUAAAAGAUUUAUCGCCCUUCGAGGAGCUCGCGUCCGAUUAGCUAGUUGGUGAGGUAAAAGCUCACCAAGGCAGCGAUCGGUAGCUGGUCUGAGAGGAUGAGCAGCCACACUGGGACUGAGACACGGCCCAGACUCCUACGGGAGGCAGCAGUGGGGAAUUUUCCGCAAUGGGCGCAAGCCUGACGGAGCAAUACCGCGUGAGGGAGGAAGGCUCUUGGGUUGUAAACCUCUUUUCUCAGGGAAGAAGUUCUGACGGUACCUGAGGAAUAAGCAUCGGCUAACUCCGUGCCAGCAGCCGCGGUAAUACGGAGGAUGCAAGCGUUAUCCGGAAUUAUUGGGCGUAAAGCGUCCGCAGGUGGCAUUUCCAGUCUGCUGUCAAAGACCAAGGCUCAACCUUGGGCAGGCAGUGGAAACUGAAAAGCUAGAGUGCGGUAGGGGUAGGGGGAAUUCCCAGUGUAGCGGUGAAAUGCGUAGAGAUUGGGAAGAACACCGGUGGCGAAAGCGCCCUACUAGGCCGCAACUGACACUCAGGGACGAAAGCUAGGGUAGCGAAAGGGAUUAGAUACCCCCAGUAGUC
rnacentral:rRNA from 1 species